rnacentral:rRNA from 1 species
AACGAACGCUGGCGGCAUGCCUAACACAUGCAAGUCGAACGAGACCUUCGGGUCUAGUGGCGCACGGGUGCGUAACGCGUGGGAACCUGCCCUUAGGUUCGGAAUAACUCCCCGAAAGGGGUGCUAAUACCGGAUAAUUUCUUCGGACCAAAGAUUUAUCGCCUUUGGAUGGGCCCGCGUUGGAUUAGCUAGUUGGUAGGGUAAAAGCCUACCAAGGCGACGAUCCAUCGCUGUUCUGAGAGGAUGAUCAGCAACACUGGUACUGAGACACGUCCCAGACUCCUACGGGAGGCAGCAGUGGGGAAUAUUGGACAAUGGGCGAAAGCCUGAUCCAGCAGUGCCGCGUGAGUGAUGAAGGCCUUAGGGUUGUAAAGCUCUUUUACCCGGGAUGAUAAUGACAGUACCGGGAGAAUAAGCUCCGGCUAACUCCGUG